CAGCUGACGCGCAUGGCGAAGACAGCGGCGCCUACCGAUGGGAGCAGCGGUUCUCAACUGGACCGGGUUGGUGGCCUGAAUGUAUUAGCUUCGCUGCGUUUGCCCAAGAG